rnacentral:pre_miRNA from 1 species
AAUAAGUGCAGCUAUGGUUUUCCGCGCCCAACUUUAAUCAUUCGUCUUAUUUAAAAAAAGUUGAAAAAAAAUAAAAACAUAAGUCACGAGUAAAGUAUUAUUUAUGUUUUAUCAUCUUAUAACAAUAAAAAUACUAAUUAUAAAAAAAUUUUAAAUAAGACGGACGAUUAAAGUUGGACGCGGAAACUCAUGGCUGCACUUAUU